UGGGGAAUAUUGGGCAAUGGGCGCAAGCCUGACCCAGCAACGCCGCGUGAAGGAAGAAGGCUUUCGGGUUGUAAACUUCUUUUCUGAGGGACGAUAGUGACGGUACCUCAGGAAUAAGCCACGGCUAACUACGUGCCAGCAGCCGCGGUAAUACGUAGGUGGCAAGCGUUAUCCGGAUUUACUGGGUGUAAAGGGCGUGUAGGCGGGAUUGCAAGUCAGAUGUGAAAACUAUGGGCUCAACCCAUAGCCUGCAUUUGAAACUGUAGUUCUUGAGUGUUGGAGAGGCAGGCGGAAUUCCGUGUGUAGCGGUGAAAUGUGUAGAUAUACGGAGGAACACCAGUGGCGAAGGCGGCCUGCUGGACAAUAACUGACGCUGAGGCGCGAAAGCGUGGGGAGCAAACAGGAUUAGAUACC
rnacentral:rRNA from 1 species